AAAAUAAAAUCUUAAAAAAAAAAAACAGCUAACUGCUUUAGAGGCAAGACUUAAAAAGAAAGGCAGGAAGAGGGAAAGGAGGAGGAAGGAUAGCAGAAAGGAAGGGAGGAAGGAAGGAGGAGGGCAGGCUGCAGCCCCUCAUGUGCGUGGUAGCAGGAGCUCUCAGCCAGGACAGUGGGACAUCCUGAACACUAGCUGUGAGCAGAGCAGUCAGCAGCAGCAUUCUUCUUCCAUCCUCUUUGCCCCUAGGAAUUCCUAGGUCUUUGCAAGGUUGUUACGGGGCUAGUCCUGUAUCAGAAACAGGGUAUGAGCCACAUAUCGCCCAAAUUUCCACCCAAGUAGCGGAAUUCACCCUGGGCAGUGCAAUGAAUGGCUGCUCUGGCUCGGUCUGGGGGACACAGCCACAAGCUCAACAUUUCAGCUUUGUCUUGCAAUCAUUGCACUCCCCGCCAUAGCAGUUGUUUUAACACAAUCUUCAAAUGAAAGGGGCGCUUGGGGAAGGUGUGUCCCAUUUUGAACAUUCCUGCCCUGCAUCUGUCAGAGGCUGCUGGGGAAGAGGGGAGGUAGAUGAAUUCAGGGUGGCCUUUGCCCCCGGGAAGAGUUUGUAUGAACAAACAACUAGACAGAGGACUUGGAGGGGGUAAAAAAGAGAGAGAAUUUGAUUUACUGAUUCUCAGUCUUUCAAGGAAACAUGGAGAUCAUUAAAAAAAAAAAAAUACUGGGAUGUAGCACAAUAUUAACAGAUAAAUUUUCGAAGGAAUAAAACAGUGUAGAUCUAAAAGGAUUAUUUCUUAAGCCAAAAUGAAAGUUCGGUGUGCACACAGGAGAGGACGGCCUGGGCUUCUCUGAGUGAUAAAAUCACUGCCCUACUCUGCAGAGGGAUGACCACCCUUCCUCUCCCAGGAGCUGCUGAGCCCCUCCUGCAACCUCACAGCAGCCCCCUCAAGUGCCUGAGCAGACUCCGUGCCCUACAGACAGGGACCCGGAGGGCCUCCGGGAGGCUCCCAAAAGGCUCUCUUUAGACAGAGGAGAUGCCAACUGGCAGGGAGACCAGCAGCUGAAGACCUGGCAGGGGAUGCAGGCUCGCCUGGGCAGCGGUGGACAUGGGGAAUUUGGCGCCAGUGUCCAGUCCCAGAGCGGCCUAGUUCCAGCUGCUUUUGUCUGUGGCGACAGCAGAGUUGCACAUGCACCGUGGGGAGCUUCACUCCAAUGCAGACCAAAAAACUUACUGUCUUCAUUAACCUGUCUAAAUUGGAUUUUCAUCCCAAUGUCAUUAAAACUGGAGAGCUUCAGAAAUAAAGUGAUUUCUUAGAAACAUAAUGUCCCCCUUGACCCUCUUUUCAAAGGUGGCUCAGAGGAAGGGGCUGGCUACAAGUCGAUAAUGUUCUGGCUUUAAGUUAAAAGACCAAAUAAGUUAAAGUCAUUAUUAUCAAGGGCUGCUGGAAUCAGGGCAUCUGAUGAUAAACAGGUGUAACAACUCAGGUGCGAUCGCUUAGAUGGGAUCAAUGAAAUACAGAUAAUUUAUGAUUGACAACUGAGGGUUAAAAUGCCAAUACAAAAAACAAAACUGUGUGUGCAGGACUCUGCUGUGACCUUAAAUCCCCUCUCCUGGGACACCAUUUAAAUCUAUUUCUCAAAGAGGCAACCUGAGUUGGAACCCUGAGGUGCUUGUUAAAAAUGCAAAUUUGAGUCCCACCCCAGUUUUAAAGAAUCAGAAUCUCUGUGGGGUAGAGAUUCCCGGGGUUUAUCAACUCCCCGUUUUUGUUAAAGAGGGAAAGGCAGAUUUACACACGAAAUAACAAAGAAUGAAGUGAGAAAACAGAAGCAAGCUCGUAGUGUGCAGUCACUAAAAAUGCUUUUUUGCACAAAAUACUUCUGCUCUAAUAGUUUAGGACACUUUUUUUUUUCUUCUUCUUUAUUUCACCUCCAGGCAUCUUGAGUUCUUAAUAGAAAAAGUGUAUUAUCUGGAGUUAUUUGCAUAACAUUAAAUCCAGGAGGAUUUAUGGAGCUCCUCUACAAAGGAGGGCCAGUGCUGGGUGUUUCAUGGGCAGGGCCCAGAUUAACCCUUGUCCACGCCCUGGGCUUUCUGGGUCGGCUCUGCACCUUCCCAGAAAGCAGGGAGACAGGACGAGUUUUCAGGGAGGUUCUAAUGGCUCUUGGGCAUGGACUCCUUCCCAAAAUGUUACUUGUCCUUGGCUGGGCUGGAACAGAAAACCCAGCGGGUAACAGGAUAAGCACGCAGGCGGGCAGCCGGCUUCCCGGGGAAGAUUAAACACAGUUAAUUAAAACCCUGCAGAACGGGAGGCAGGGGAUUAGCUGGCAGGGGAAAGGAGGGAGCUGCUAGCAGGAGAGGUGAUGCCCGCCCCAAGAUUUCCUUCCCAGAGCUCUUUUGCUGCUAAUCAAGAUUAAAUGGGCUGUGCUCCCUUGGCCAUCCAGUCCAUUUUGAUAGGUUCCAGUAUCCCUUACUUAAAGGCCACUCUGUAAACCUGUGCCAAGAGCUGGGCAAUCUUGAAUGCUUUUUUCAUAAGAAGCGAAGCUUCCUGAGGAGUUACUGCUGUAUCUUAAAACUCUGGUGAAUGAAACAAAGGAAACUGGGUGGGGAGGGAUCUCUGAAGUGCAGGAAUCACUCAACCUUCUCCCCACCCCACCCUAUCAGGCAAGGCCAGAUCUGGGGGCCUGCAAGCAGCACGAAGCAGAGUCCAGGGUGGGUGAGGAGCCUCCCCUCCCCUCCCGGACUCCCAUGCCACUCAAAUUCAGUCCAACCUAGCUCCAGCACCCAGGGAACCCUUGUUCAGUCACAAUGUCUCCAGCCCAAGGCCCGGAGAGAGGGGCUCAAAACCACGACCCCAGUAAUCCCACAGAGCUUCCCAUCCCACCUCCCCAUUUCAGAAGACCAAGGGCAUCACCAUCAAAAAGCAUUUAUUAAGCACCUAACUGCCUAGAGUCCGGGCAAAGAUUCACAGGGGCCUGGCCCCUGCCCUGGGAGAGGGUCAUUUAUGACCAUUAAGGCCAGGAUGAGAGAGCUUUGUAGUCCUGCGGCCCCAGCAGCUCUGUGAGGCACAUUCUAGCAAGUCUCACCACCCCUCAGCACGGGUCUGGACUCUGUCCAGGGAGGGACAGAGCAUACAUGAGGAUUACGUGUUUGUGACAAGUACUACACCGGUACAAUGGCUUAAUUCUUUUACAUACUCAUCGCUCAGAUUUAUUGGAUCAGAAACUGUCCCUCUCCUGGGCAGUUUACAACAUCCUCAAUCUUUCACUCAAUUUUUAUUGACAUUUAUUUCAGCAACUCUUACCCAAAUCUAAGAAGAGCAGUUUACAAAGAAAGCCAGUAACACACAGAACAAGCAUGAGUCAAGAAAAGAGAAGCAUGUCAAUGAGAUUUCCUGGAUGGAGACCGUGAGUUUGGCUCUGAGCUUCCUGGCAGUCAAAGCAAAAUGAUCAACACUAUACAGUUAUGUCAUUGUCAAAUCAUCAGUUUGAGAGAGCCAAGAGUUUUCCUGGCAGAAAAUCCAGACACAGCAGUGGAACCUGUAAAUUCCCCACCUGGGCAGUCCCAAAGACACAACUAGAAACACGCAGAUAUAACCUGCUCUCUGAACUUGCCUUCUCCCUUCUUCUCCCAACUUUCGAAAUUCCUGCCAAAAUCCUACAAGGACAAUCUUUCUUUCUGAUGCCAGAGAAAAGCUGCUGAAGAACAGAUAGAUACAGGCGGUCAGAACCAAGAGGCACGUCCCUAUGUUGUGUGGAGGGAGUUCCCCAAAACUGGACCCUAAAAACCCUCUUCUAGAACCCUGGUAACUAUUCUCCCUAUACUACUGCCCAAACCCCUGAAGACAGGAAUUUGGGGUGAGGGAGCAAGCAUAUCAUUGUGAACACUGAGAUCUACUACUCCCAUACCCACACUGGUCUAUGGGGAGCACUAAGACCCCAGAGUGUUUGGCAGCAAUGGACCAGGAGAGGAGGUGGGGCAAAGAGCUUUCUUGCUCUCCUGGGCUGGCAUUUGGUUUCCAAGGCGAGCCUUAGCAUCCUACCUCCCCACCUAUUCUUUAGCCAGGACACCCCCUCAAACACCCCCCCCCACCUGCUUCUUUGCUAGGACACACAGGGAUGGGGGUGGGUGAGUCAGAGAGGUCCUGGUUCCAGGUAGUGUCCCUGUGAGAAGCUGCUGUCGCCUAUGAGGAACCCUGCAAGGGUCUGCAGGACCCAAAUGCAGGGUGGGGGCGGGGGAGCCUUUCAGGUUGGGAAUCUCAAGCCCUUCCAAUAGCUUAAAAGGAGUGUCAUAAGUAGAACUGCCAUAUAAAAUACAGCACAGCCCUGUUAAAUUUUAAUUUCAGAAAGACAAUUUCCAGUAUUAAGUGUGUCCCAAAAUUGCAUGAGACAUACUCAUACUAGAAAAUACUUACUAUUUAUGAACUGGGCAUCCUUGGAGAGGGGGGCAGCUAAAGCUGGCAAUCCUGGUCAGGGGGCUUCCUGGUGGGUUCUGGGGUCCCAGUUAGGUGAGGCAAACCUCUUGGGAAGGGAAACCCUGAACUUUGAACUCUUCAUUGGCUUAUUAACAUGUGCUUUUUCUUCCAUUGAGGGAGGGGUCUUAGUUUGAUUGUGGUUAGGACAAAAGCUGGCUCACUUAAUCCAGCCCAGGGGUGACUGAGCCGGGAGGCAGACACCCCCAUCCCCACCCCCAUUUGAGCCCUAAGAACUUCCCAGGAGCAGAGACAUAAGGCUUCAAUGGUGCUCGCCACUCAAGCCAAGGCGAUCAACAUUCCAGGAGGCAGCCAUUCCCGCCCUUCAGGAGGAACAAAGAGCCUAGGGAGGAAUUCCUGCUGCCCCAAGCAUGGGGGGUGGGGUGGUAUCCAAACACAACUGGGCAGAAAAAGUGGCCCCAGCAAGGGGCCCUAGGAAGCCCACUCCCUCCCUGUCCUGUCAGAGGAACAAGACAGCCCAAGGAAAGACUCCAGUGCAGACAUUAAAACUGAACCUUAUAAGCACAGAAUGCAAUUUGCGGGCUGAGCCUCUAACAGCGAUGGAGUAAAGUUCAAGAGAAAAAUCUCUAAAGGUAACAGGCCAAAACCUCUGAAUUUAAUCAUUAACUUUAUCUUGAGGGUCUUCUUUGUACUCACGCUAUGUACUGGCUUUUACUGUAACCAAUGCAAAUAUUUUACUGUCCUUCAAAACACAGAAGGCGGGUUUGGUUGGCUUGUUUUUUAAACUACAGCUCCUGCAUCACCAUAAGUGAUGAUUCCAGGCAAAUUCCAAUCAGGGAUCUCCAGCAAAAAGGACCUUUGGAAGGGGAGAGUGGGUGGGAGAGAGGACCUGACGGAAGCAAACUUUCCUCCCUCCUGCACAGUGGUGCCCUUACUUCUGCUGACAACACAGUGGGUAGGACCUUCAGGCAGCUUAAAAGGGAGAUGAGAGACUUGAGCUUUCAAAGGCCGCAGUAGAGAAGUUUGGGGACAGACUUAAACAACGUAAGGUUCUCUUUUACUAUGAGGGCAGAGGUAGUUCCAAGGGUGACCGUGUUCCCACGAAAGUCCCCUUUCACCAUCUCCAACCAUAGGUUU